UUUCAUUGUACCCUGAAUUUAUUUAAAUCAUAUUGAGGCUUAUUAAAUAUUUACUACUAAGUUUGCCACUCUCUGAGAUGAUUUGACGUUUCAGUCAGAGCCCUGAAGGGCUGUUUUUGAUCAGUCAUUCUUUGGAGUUAAAUGUAUGUACGUUGGUAGGACUGGAAAAGAAUGGAAUGUCAGCUCUCUGCCAACGACUCUCCUGGUUGAAAGAAAAUUUUUCCUUUUGGAGUGAGUCACGUAGAGAAUUUAUCUCAGGAGGGCAUCAAAAAAAGAGGUGAAAAGCAAUUAAGGAGAAAAAAAAAAAAAAACCCAAAUGCUUCCAUCUGUGUUGAUCCUAUUCCCCCUGGAAAAUAGGUACCAAAUAGCAAUUUUUGGUUACCAUUUUUUCCUCUUUCAAGCCAAAUGGAAUUUCCUGAGUUGUUCAUUUGGAACGUGCCCCGAUGGAAAGGGCCUUAGUCAGGUCUCGCCAGGAGAGAAGAGAGCAGAAAACGUGGUCUGCUUUGCUCACUCCCAACAAGGGAAUUCUCAUCAGAGUGGUCACCUGCGGGCAAGACUCUCUGAAGGGGUCCUCUUCUUCCAGAUCGUGGAGCCCAAACGGAAAGCAUCCAUUGGGAAAGAUUGACCUCUGGGUGGAAUCAAUUACAUGUACGCCUCAUUUUGAAAUGUUACUCGCACACACACAGUAACGAGACUGACGCUAAAUUUAUUCAUCUCUUUGCAAGAAGCCGCCAAUGAACCUCGAACAUGCUGUGGUGGAAAAGUAACUCUGCCCAACAUGUGACACGAUCUCCCUCAAACACGUUCAUUGGGCAUCGCAGGCAGUGCAUAUAUUUUAGAUCUCGGGCCAGCGUGCUUUGGAAUGGGCACGGCCCAGCCUAGGUCUUGCUCUAGCUUCUGCUCACUCGCAUUCAGGGUUUCUUACCCUCGGCGUCUCUUGAUAUCUGGGGCCGAGGAUUCUUGGCGGUGAGGGCUGUCCUGGGCAAUGCAGGGUGUUUAGCAGCAUCCCUGGCCUCUACCCACUAGAUGCCAGAAGCACCCCUCCACUUCUCCCACUGUGCCCCCCUCCCUGUUGUCACAACCCGGAUGUCUCCAGACACUGCCCGAUGUCCCCCGUGAGGCAGAAUGGCCCUGGUUGAAUAACACUGCUCUAAUUUGAUAUUGCACAACCCCAGGUUUGAUAUCAUCUAACUGCUGUUCUAUAAUGCACUGUCUUCAUGCCCGUGCCGCUGGGGGCUUCUUUCUGCAUGUCCGAUCCAAGUUCUGCACUGAGUGGGGGAAGGAAGGGGCUACGAUGUGUGUAAGGUGUCCGCAAAGAUAGAUCUGUCCAGGAUAAUUGGAUUUUUGUCUGUUGCCCGGAUGUCAGUAAGUAGCAUCCCCUAAGGAGUGUCUGCAUACCGGUGAAAAUUACCAAGCCCCCUUGUAAUCGAGGUGUUUUGGCUUUGAAGAAUGGGUCUGCGUUUUAAGAGCUCCUGCAAUCUCAAGAGGCUCUUCUCUUUGCAGAAGUCUUGGACUCCUUCCUAUCCUAUUUUGGGGCCUGGAUGUUUAACCAUUUCAGGCCCACAUGGACUACCUACCCAGGCCUCGAGCCUCAACUGCUACUGACUUCCAGUUUUGACCAACUAGGCAAAGCGAGCUGACAAUAGGGAAAAGAGUAGUGCUUUUCAAAACUGUUUCUUCUCUCAGCAGGGAGAGUUUAAAGUUGUAAGUAAAGAAAGACUUGCUACUGACUUUAUAAUGGCUUUUAUACCGGCUUUUACAAUCACAUGGAUUACUGGGAUCAGGCUUCCUGCUUGGAAAAGUGCUUUGCAAUACUUCAGCCAAACGAGAGUGAGUUUAGAACAGCCUGGGUACAAUAGAAGGGAGGUGAAGAAAUCAGAGGUAGUUCGAAAAGCAAUCAUUCCUUUGGUCUUAAGAAUAAGGAAAAACAUUUUUUUUUUUUUAUUCCUCAGUAAAUCCUGUCACAUGUAGAACAGCCUGCUUGUUAAAGCCUCGAGUGGACGUUUGGAUUGUGUGGUUCCUGGCAUGUUCUUGUGCUUUAAAAAAGCACACAAAACCUCUCCAGGUAGUAAUAUGCUCUCUAACCUGUAAUCAGAAUCGGCCUCCCACCUGAAACUAUGAAGACAAGAUCUUCAACCCAGAGUGAAGGCAAGAUAAUUAUGUGAGAACACUCCAUUCACAAGGUCAGCAUUAAUUUGGUUAUCUGUACUCAGUGCCAGCUGAGAUCUGAUUUUUAAAGUGACACCAACUCAUGGAAUCUGCCGGAGAUUUGGGACAUACAGUCUCCCUUCUUCUCCACACUGUUCUUCUUGGGUCAGCCUCCUAGACCUUGUCUCCUCUCUUGGACCCAGACAAAACCCUCUGGGUCUGCAGGGCCGACCUUCCAGAUCCCUGACUGGAGAAACAUGAGGCCAGAUGGCUUCACCUACUAACAAUUCCUUGUCCCAGUCUCCUUGACUUCAUAUGGGGAUGUUUUCUGCCCGCGUGUACCCACAUCACAUGUGUAAUAGAUAGUGUCUCUAAUGCUUUAAUGAAGGUUAUGUCGUGAUCCUCAGUUGGAUUUCAGCAGAUUUUUUUCCAGGUAUUUCCCGAGUCUUGUUGUUCUUCCAUCUCGGCUGUGAAAUAGGAGUUGGCACCUGUGCUAUAUUGCCCUGUGGUUCUCGGUCCUGUGGUCUUCCGUUGAAACAGUCACCUCCCCCCCAAAAUGACCUUUAGCUCAAAAUAAGAGCCCCUUGUGAACGCAGGGGAACUGACUCCAGAGAACAUGACGGAAGUGGCUAUUUUGAAUUAGAUUAUGCUUUGCAAAGUGCAUCUCAGACGUCCAAGUGAUGCAGAGUACUGUCUUAGGAUGUCAUGUUGUAGGAGGGUGUGCGCUUGACUCUACACACCUGCAGGGGACAGCAACCAAGAAACGUGAGCCCCUCUACUCUGCCUUGGAAGAGAGCAUUCUGUGAUCACCCGAGUCUCAGCUUAAAUGCACUCAGAAUAUAAGAAAGAAAUCUCAUCUCGUGUGCCAGGAGCCUAAACAUGCCACAAAAGAGGGUAAUUUUGAGUUGCCUCAAUUAAGAGAAUUAAUAUUAUAGGGCUAAGUAUUGGUAUUAAGAGAAUUAGUAUUUAGGACUAGGCUUAUUAAGAGGCUACUCGGCUCUUCGCUUUGCCUACGGAUCCCAAAGUCACCUUGCUUUAACUGUUUCUGACCAAAAAUCUGCUAAACAUUAUCACUGCAAAGAGCUAUUUUUUUGAGCACCGACUCCACAUGACCAACUUUUAAGCACUGUGGACACAGAGAAAGAUGGACUAUUUCUUCUCCAUGGAGGAAGCAGGACAGAAACACAGAGAGAAAGAGAACAGAAAGGUAAAAGAGCAUGUGCCAAGUGUUGGGUGAGAAUGGUUGAAAUAGCUAAACAAUGAAACUGAAGGUUAAAAUUUCAAUAAGGAAUUAGGAGGAAUAAAAAUAUAAUCAAACAGGAUGGGCAUUUUCUUUUAUCCGUUAAGAAUUACACUUCGUGGAGUUCCCAUCGUGGCUCAGCAGAAACAAAUCUGACUAAAACCCGUGAGGAUGCAGGUUUGAUCCCUGGCCUCGCUUAGUGGGUUAAGGAUCCCGUGUUGCCACGAGCUGUGGUGUAGGUCACAGAUGCGGCUUGGAUCCUGUGUUGCUGUGGUGGUGGUGUAGGCCGGCAGCUACAGCUCUGAUUCAACCCCUAGCCUGGGAAUUUCCAUAUACCCUGGGUGUGGCCCUAAAAAGCAAAAAAAAAGAAUUACGCUUUGCUUCCAGGAGCAGAACUGAAAUCAGAGUGUCUUAAACAAUGUAGGUGGUAAUUUUUUUCACAGUUAAAACAUGUUAGAGAAUUGGGUUAGUACAGCAGUUUAACAAUGUCCUUGGUGUCUGGAGUUCUCUGUUUUGCAAUUCUUAGUGCCACCUCUCCUAUUCUAGAUUGUCCCAUGAUUGCAAAAUGGCUGCUUAAUAUCCAGCCAUCAUGCCCAUGUCUUAGACAGAAAGAAUAAGGAAAGAGGGGAGCUCAAAGAGCCAUCCUUGCUGAGAUAACUUCCCGUUAACAAUUUUCGAGAAGCCCUCCACCCAAUACUUGGUUUCUGAUAUCUUUAAUUUUUCCAGCCAAGUAUUAUGGGCACCUCCUCCAGUGUUAUGGUACCAAUAAAUGAUAACAGCAUGAUAUUGGAGAAACAAUUAGCAAGCUCGGGUAUACAACUUAACUAUCACUAAUAUUUAAAAAACAAAAUCACAUAGAUCUCUUAAACUGGAAGUAAACAAACUAUGGCCUGUGGGCUAAAUUCAGCCCACUGGCUUUCUGAUAAAGAAGUUUUUAUUGGGACUCAGCCAUACCCAUUCAUUUAUGUCUGAAUGAGUGUGGUGUAUGACUGCUUUUGCACUAUCCCAGCAGAGUUGAGGAGUUGUGACAGAGACUGGCCUGCAAAGCUAAAAAUAUUUUCCAUCUGUCCCUUUGCAUGAAAACGUUGCCAACCCCAAUUCUAGACAGAUAACUCAAUGGAAAAAGGGGCAAACGACUGGAGCAGACAAAAGGUAUAUCCAAAGACUAAUACAUAUAUGAAAAGUGCUCCAGCUCGUUAGUCAGCAGGGAGAUGUUAAUUAAAACCACAGCACACCAGCACUCCUUGCCCAUCUGAAUGGCUGUAAUUAAAGAAGAGAGGGAGAACCGGCAGAAUCAAGCGUUGCAUUAAUCUGGGUCAACUGGAAUUCUCAUACAUUGCUUCUGGCAGUGUAUGUUGGUGCAAAUACUUUGGGAAACAGUUGGGCAGUCUCGACUAAAGCACAGCAUGGGUAUUCCCUCUAACAGAGCCAUUCUACUCCCAGGUACAUACCCAACAGAAAUGCCGACCCACGUUCACCAAAAAGCAUUUUCUAGAAUGUUCCCAUCAGCGCUAUUCAUUAGCAACCCCCAGACGGAUAAACUGUCUCUCGACAGUAGAAAAGGAAUAGUCGCAUUUUCUUCAUAGGAUAGAAUGGUUCUCAGCCACGAAGAGGAAGGAUUGCAUGCUCUAACAUUCAGUAGUGGCAAAAGGAGCCAGAUGAUGG
rnacentral:lncRNA from 1 species